rnacentral:rRNA from 1 species
CCUACGGGAGGCAGCAGUGAGGAAUAUUGGUCAAUGGUCGGGAGACUGAACCAGCCAAGUAGCGUGAAGGAUGACUGCCCUACGGGUUGUAAACUUCUUUUAUAAAGGAAUAAAGUGAGGCACGUGUGCCUUUUUGUAUGUACUUUAUUAAUAAGGAUCGGCUAACUCCGUGCCAGCAGCCGCGGUAAUACGGAGGAUCCGAGCGUUAUCCGGAUUUAUUGGGUUUAAAGGGAGCGUAGAUGGGUUGUUAAGUCAGUUGUGAAAGUUUGCGGCUCAACCGUAAAAUUGCAAUUGAUACUGGCAGUCUUGAGUACAGUUGAGGUAGGCGGAAUUCGUGGUGUAGCGGUGAAAUGCUUAGAUAUCACAAAGAACUCCGAUUGCGAAGGCAGCUUACUAAACUGCCACUGACAUUGAUGCUCGAAAGUGUGGGUAUCAAACAGGAUUAGAUACCCGAGUAGUC